GCUGUCGGUGCCCGGCUGGCGGCUGGAGGCCGCUCUCAGCGACCUCGGCGCGUUCGGCGCGUGCUGGCUGCU
rnacentral:tRNA from 1 species